CCCAAGGGCAUUUUAGUCCAAAAUUUUUUCAGACCAUGUUUUUGAAAUUAUAAAAUUAUCUAUAAUUUUUUUUAAUUUUCUAGGCAGAGAGAUAACUAAUUUUAAUUUAUCAUGUCUGAAAUGAUGAAAAUUUAAUAAAUUUAUCGAAUGAUGUUAGAAAAUUCUGAAAAAUUAUAGAUAAGUCUAGAAUUAUUAGAUCAAAGGGGGUGAAGCUCUUUUUUUGAGUUUUCAAGACAGCAAAGACUCUAUACUCUCUAAAGUGCCAUUAUGUACAUAUCGAAAAAUAAUUUUAAAAGUUAUUUUCUUUCAAAAAAAUUCAUAAUAAAUUAUAGACUACUCAAAAAAAUAUGAUUCCACUUCUGAAAAUUUUUUUAUUUUAUAUUUUUUCUGUCAUAUGCUUUAAUUAGUUUAAAAAAAAUCAUAUAUAAUUUAUCACUAAUACAUGGUUAUUUGUUUUAAGUUAGAAGAUGGUUCAAAUGAUAAAGACUCGGGAGGUUUUGAGAGGAAUGAUUGGAGAGAUAAAAUGGGCACCUAUCAAGGAUUGUAGGAUAAGUCUCGAACAUGAUAUUGUGUAACAUAUUGAAAUUAUUGAAAAAAAUAUUUGAGAAAUUAAAAAAAUAAAUGGUAUAUUGUUAUAAAUGGUAUGAAGAUCAGAAUCCUACUUAAAUCUUUACCAUAUGAGUGGUCUGAGAUACUAUGAAGAUCGUUUGACUCAAAUGAGAGUCUGCGUUAUGACAAAAUCAUAACUAUUUUCAAGAUAAAAUAUGAAGAGAGUCAUUUUAUUAUUAUGAGAGCAGCU
rnacentral:lncRNA from 1 species